GCGGGAGUCGCCUAGCCUGGUCAAUGGCGCAAGGUAGCUUUAGCCUUGAAUCAGAGCCUUGUGGCUUAGUGCCUUCGUGGGUUCAAAUCCCACCUCCCGCA
rnacentral:tRNA from 1 species